rnacentral:rRNA from 1 species
GUAGUGACGAAAAAUAACGAGGCGGUUCUCUAAGAGGCCCGCUAUCGGAAUGGGUACAAUUUAAACCCUUUAACGAGGACCUAUGAGAGGGCAAGUCUGGUGCCAGCAGCCGCGGUAAUUCCAGCUCUCAAGGUGUAUAUCGCCAUUGCUGCGGUUAAAAAGCUCGUAGUUGGAUCUGCGCCUUCGGACUCGGUCCGCCCAACGGGUGUGAACUGAGAUCCAAGGCUUAUACUGCUGGUUUUCCCUUGAUGCUCUUUACUGGGUGUCUUGGGUGGCUAGCGAGUUUACUUUGAAAAAAUUAGAGUGCUUAACACAGGCUAUCGCCUGAAUACUUGUGCAUGGAAUAAUAGAAUAAGACCACGGCUCUAUUUUAUUGGUUUUCGGAACUGUGAUAAUGGUUAAGAGGGACAGACGGGGGCAUUCGUAUCGCUGCGUGAGAGGUGAAAUUCUUGGACCGCAGCGAGACGCCCUACUGCGAAAGCAUUUGCCAAGAAUGUCUUCGUUAAUCAAGAACGAAAGUCAGAGGUUCGAAGGCGAUCAGAUACCGCCCUAGUUCUGACCGUAAACGAUGCCAACUAGCGAUCCGCCGGUGGUAAUUACGCCCCGGCGGGGAGCUUCCCGGAAACGAAAGUCUUCCGGUUCCGGGGGAAGUAUGGUUGCAAAGCUGAAACUUAAAGGAAUUGACGGAAGGGCACCACCAGGAGUGGAGCCUGCGGCUUAAUUUGACUCAACACGGGAAAACUCACCCGGCCCGGACACCGUAAGGAUUGACAGAUUGAGAGCUCUUUCUUGAUUCGGUGGUUGGUGGUGCAUGGCCGUUCUUAGUUGGUGGAGCGAUUUGUCUGGUUUAUUCCGAUAACGAACGAGACUCUGGCCUACUAAAUAGUGACAGGAUUAUUACUGUCCUGGAUACUUCUUAGAGGGACAAGUGGUUUUCAGCCACACGAAAUUGAGCAAUAACAGGUCUGUGAUGCCCUUAGAUGUCCGGGGCUGCACGCGCGCUACACUGAAGGAAUCAGCGUGCUAAAACCAUUGUCGAAAGGCAUUGGUAAACCCAUUAAAAUCCUACGUGAUUGGGAUCGGGAAUUGCAAUUAUUUCCCUUGAACGAGGAAUUCCCAGUAAGUGUGGGUCAUAAGCUCGCGUUGAUUACGUCCCUGCCCUUUGUACACACCGCCCGUCGCUGCCCGGGACUGAGCCGUUUCGAGAAAAGCGGGGACUGCUGCUGUCGGGGCUUUCGGGCCUUGGCUUCGGUGGAAACCGCUUUAAUCGCAGUGGCUUGAACCGGGCAAAAGUCGUAACAAGGUUUCCGUAGGUGAACCUGCGGAAGGGAUCGUCAUAGCUGUUU